AAGACCUUGCACUUUUGGAGCGGCCGAUGACUGAUUAGCUAGUUGGUGGGGUAAAGGCCUACCAAAGCUUCGAUCAGUAGCUGGUCUGAGAGGACGGCCAGCCACACUGGGACUGAGACACGGCCCAGACUCCUACGGGAGGCAGCAGUGGGGAAUUUUGGACAAUGGGCGCAAGCCUGAUCCAGCCAUGCCGCGUGAGUGAAGAAGGCCUUCGGGUUGUAAAGCUCUUUCAGCCGGGAAGAAAAGGCUGCGACUAAUAAUCGCAGUUCAUGACGGUACCGGAAGAAGAAGCACCGGCUAACUACGUGCCAGCAGCCGCGGUAAUACGUAGGGUGCGAGCGUUAAUCGGAAUUACUGGGCGUAAAGGGUGCGCAGGCGGUUUUGUAAGUCAGAUGUGAAAUCCCCGGGCCUAACCUGGGAACU
rnacentral:rRNA from 1 species